GACGAACGCUGGCGGCGUGCUUAACACAUGCAAGUCGAACGGAAAGGCCUUUUCGGCGGUACUCGAGUGGCGAACGGGUGAGUAACACGUGGGUGAUCUGCCCUGCACUCUGGGAUAAGCCUGGGAAACUGGGUCUAAUACCGGAUAGGACCGCACUUUAGUGUGUGUGGUGGAAAGUUGUUUCGGUGUAGGAUGAGCCCGCGGCCUAUCAGCUUGUUGGUGGGGUAAUGGCCUACCAAGGCGGCGACGGGUAGCCGGACUGAGAGGUUGGUCGGCCACAUUGGGACUGAGAUACGGCCCAGACUCCUACGGGAGGCAGCAGUGGGGAAUAUUGCACAAUGGGCGCAAGCCGGAUGCAGCGACGCCGCGGGGGGGAUGACGGCCUUCGGGUUGUAAACUCCUUUCGCCAGGGACGAAGCGUUUUGUGACGGUACCUGGAGAAGAAGCACCGGCUAACUACGUG
rnacentral:rRNA from 1 species